GUAAAUGAUUUAAUGACCAAAAGAACAUGCACAUUAGUUAUUGAAAAUGGUAUGGGGUGCCUGGGUGGCUCAGCGUCUGACUCUUGAUCUCAGCUAAGGUCUUCAUCUCAGGGUCGUGAGUUCACAAUGACUGUAAAUUGAGAGACCAAACCUUCAGGAUAGAAAGCAAAGGUGAUAUUCUAAAAUACAAGUACUGCUUGAUUACUACAGUGUUUACAAAUCAAAUUCUCCCUAUCCAGCGUAGAAGAUGCUGACCCAGCCCCAAAAUAUAAAGUUCUGUGAACUAGGUAUUUUGUUUUUUUUCUUUCGAAGAAAACAGUAGGAGAGUGUCCUGGAAUGUCCAUGGUUUUGGGGGGGUGGUGGUGGUGGUGGCUGUUUUAAUAAAGAUGUGACCUGGCAUUUUCCAUCUGUGAAGAGGUGAAGCCAGGUAGGACAAAGGAGACCUCAGGUGAGCUGAACCAAGCCUUUCGUUACAUAGUUGAGGCACUUAGAGUCCAGAGUUCUCAUGACAUGUAAUGUCAGCUCGAGUGAAAAAUCCAGACCUUUUUUUCCCCCUUGCACAAUGCAUUCCUGAUGACACCAUGCUCAUUCUGAAAAAGCUUGCAUUUUAAAAAGUGAACAUUCUGUUCCUUCCAACUUUCAUUCUUAAAUACCUCAUCCCACUUAUAGAAGUAGCACUUUGAUUUUAAAAGUUAAAAUUGUGAAAGCAUACUGCAGUGUCAGAGGCCCCGGAUGCAUAGGAUAUUAACGUUGGCCAUCUUCUGAAGCCUCAAACUGGAAACACUGAAAUCCUUAAGUUCACCCUUAGUUCCAAUUUGGCUCUUCAGUGGCAUUGCUGCCUCCAAGAAGCCAUGUGAUCUUGGGUAAGUAAUUUGCCUUCUUCAGAUUCCUCCUCUGUGUAGUGAAUAACAGAUAUUUUUUUGAGAAUUAAAAGUUAAUAUAUGUAAAGUGACUACAAUACCGCAUGGCACUAAAUUAGCUAAGACUUACUUCAUUUACUGUCUGCUGUUAGCCUGUCCACCUGGUUUCCUUCCAGCACGUGAAUGGAGUCAACUUUCCCAUAACUAUAAAGUUUAUCUCCUACAGUAAAAAGCAAAUAUUUAAAAUUUUGGUGAGUCUCUAAUACCAAGACACAGUAAACAUCAAGGAUAGAAAGAUAACCAAAAGUUAAUAUUAAUUGGAAACCAAAAGACUUCUUGCCAUUUUGAAACACAUCCCCAAGCCUCGUCAACAGAUGAAGUCUGUAGCAGAACACAUUCCCUGGAAGACAUUCAGUUACUUCUGUGAACAGAGCUGUGCAUUCUAGAAUGUAUGGCCCUGACAUCAGGUCUGGAGCAGGCAGUGUGGUCUGCUCUUGUUUUUGCCGUACACGCAGCACACACUGCCAUACAGCUGGUGGCCUACUGAAAGAACACACCGUACGAACCACAUCCGCUCAACCAGACUAUUUGGUCAUCUAAUGGAUGGAGAAAAAGUCCUUCUAGAUUAUUCAUUGUUUAAUCCCAAUAAAAAUAAAUGACCAGGGGCGCCUUGGUGGCUCAGUCAGUUAAGAGUCUGCCUUUGGCUCCUGGGAUGGAGUCCCGCAUGGAGCUCCCUGCUCAGUGUGGAGUCUGCUUCUCCCUCUCCCUCCCCCACCUGACCAACUCAUGCUGUUGGUCUCAGAUAAAAUAGUAAAAAAACCAAAACCGUCCAGUAGCAUGUUUAAUAAGGAGAGAGUAUUGUGGCCUAAACACAGGUUUAUUUUCUUGUUAAAAAGACCUGAUGUAGUCUGAAACCAUUGCUGAUAAAAAGCAUCACAAAGUCAUUAGGGAUCCAGACUCCAGCCAGCCCGAAGCCCUCGCCCAUGAAUACUCUCCUCAGCAUGUUACGAGGUGAUGGCUUGAGAUGUGGACACAGGAAAGAAAGGAAGGAAGGAAUAAAGGAAAACGGACAUUCUUAAGGUUUCCUGUAAGUUUCAUGUGAUACUUGCAUCCACAUCUUACUGGCUGUGUAGUGACAUUGCCACAAUUUGGGCAAAGAAGGCUGAGAAAUUGUCAUAUUUGCAUACAGUGCCACACCUCACGAAACUGGGUUUUGGCCAAGGAAGAAGAGAAGACUGGAUUUGUAGUAGAUUAGCUAUCUACCAUAAGAUAUUAUGGCCAUCUAUUGGAGGGAAAAAAGCUGUCCUUGGACUACUGUUGAAUGGAACAAAACAAAAACCCAAUCCCAUGUUUCAUGACCUGAGCCGAAGUCAGACACUUAAUGUCUGAGCCACCCAGGUGCCUCAAAACCCGUGCUUUUAUAUUUAUCGUAACCCGCUUUAAAACCAAGCAAUCUAGGUAAAUGUGUGCAUAUGUAAUAACUGAUAAUCUUCGGGUCCUAGAAUUGCAAAUGAGUUUUUUAAAGAUUUCAGAGAGAGAAUGUGGUGGAGGGGAGGGGGAGGCUUAAGCAGACUCCACGUUUGGGUGUGGAGCCUGACAUAGGGCUCAGUCUCACAACCCUGAGAUUGUGACCCGAGCCACAUCUAGGAGUCAGACACUUUGUCGACUGUGCCACCCAGGCUCCCUGUAAAUGGGUUUUCUUUAAAUUUUAUUUGCAUUUUCUAAAGUUGCUAGGCUGAAAAAAAAAUCUUUAUGCUUAAAUGUUUUUUCCAAAUUAAAAGGUGGAAAGUCUUCCACCUGAUUACUCUUCUAGGAGAUACUGUUACUAGUUCUCUUACGUCCUUGGAGAUACUCUGGGCAUGCUCAAAUGAACUGGGGUGUUGUUUUGUUUUUAGAUGUAAUGAUGUAGCUUGGAGAUAAUGUCAUGCUACUGCUUAGUAGGAAAAAGAAGCUUCUGAUCCCAUCUCCUGACAGCAGAUGGGAUCAAUCAGUUAUAUGUUAAAAGUCCCAUGUAUUAAAAUUGGCACAUGAAUUUCUUGGUAGUUCCUGGGUAUUUCCAGUCUCUCCCUCACCCUGGUUCCAUUUCCAUGGGCCCAGACAUGCUUACAUCUUCUCUAGCAAUCCACUCCUUGCCUUACUUCUGUCAGCCCAGCAUUGUAGAGUGGAAACAGGUAUGGGUUUUGGAGUCAGGUUCAGUUCCUAGUUUUCUGCCAUCUGUAGCAUCUUGGGCAGGACACUCAACAGUCUGGGCCUCAGUUUUUAUAUUUUUAAAUUGUGAAAAUGUUAAAAAAUCUACUUCUUAGGUUUAGAUGCAGUUUUAAUAAGGUCAACAAAAUACCAGACACAAUAGGGACUCUGUAGGUGCUAUCAUUUCUCCUCAAAUCACCGUACCCGAGAUUCAUUUACUAUUGUAACUGUGGUGACUUCCAUUUUGUCACUUGGUUCAUUUCACAACCUUUUCUGUUCUCAAGGAAACCAGUAAAAUUUUGCUAAUGUUACUAA